UACCAGCUCUCCGAGUGGUGUGGAUGUUUAUUGGGCCUAAAGCAUCCGUAGCUGGCUGGACAAGUCCCCUGUUAAAUCCACCGAUUUAAUCGUUGGUGUGCGGGGGAUACUGUUCGGCUAGGGGACGGGAGAGGCAGACGGUAUUUUCGGGGUAGGGGUGAAAUCCUAUAAUCCCGGGAAGACCACCAGUGGCGAAGGCUGUCUGCUAGAACGCGCCCGACGGUGAGGGAUGAAAGCUGGGGGAGCGAACCGGAUUAGAUACCCGGGUAGUCCCAGCUGUAAACGAUGCAGGCUAGGUGUUUGGACGGCCACGUGCCGUCCUAGUGCCGCAGGGAAGCCGUUAAGCCUGCCGCCUGGGGAGUACGGCCGCAAGGCUGAAACUUAAAGGAAUUGGCGGGGGAGCACCACAAGGGUGAAGCUUGCGGUUU
rnacentral:rRNA from 1 species